UAUGUUUGUUGUGCGUGCUUGUGAAGUCGUCGUCCCAUGCGUAAUCGCUGUGCUGGAUUCAAGUGUACGACUGUACUCUUGAACAGAAACGCACAGUGACAGCACUUCGACAGUGUCUUCAACGUGGUAUGCGCUGUGUUCGGCGAAAAAUUGUGAUCCAGUCUGGGUGGGAGUGGUUGACCCUCUCUGCAGGGCCCCCCGAGAGGAUGGAACCCCCCCGCUAUGUGGCAUCAAAUUGGGGACGCUCGUUUUGACGUGACCUGUUCGUGCCCUGUCGGGCGUGCUGUUCUCGACGUUCUUCGACGCGUCUUCCUCGAGCGAUCGCACAGAAAGUGGUGUGACCCACAGGAACUUUCGUUUUUGAAGGAAUUUUCACCAGGAGCCGAUGGUUUCGGGCAGAGGGGGCACCGCAAUCCGUAAGGAUGGAUGGAAAACAAGUGUACGCCUUUCAAGAUAUGUAUGGAAGCAGGACAUUGUCCACACCAAUAUACAAAAAGGAAUAUUGAUAAAAAAAUUGAUUCAUGUCAUGCUGAAUGUGUGGUCAGCUUUGUGAACUUUUGCUGUGUAUCUGUGGUUCUACUUGUGCUGCCUCAAUCACUAAGGCUAAAUUGCUUUGAGCUGUUACUGCUUUAAAAAGGGCGUGCCUGUCCUGUGGUUGGCUUUUGUGCCCCAAUUGUUUUGAAGAAAACCUUUUGUCUUUUGAUUAUGCUCCAUGAAAUGCAACUGUGAGCUUUAAUCGAACUAGACAUACAGCCGCUGUAUAACGAAAUUUUAGUGCCAUUUUUUUUAUAAAAAGAGCCAAGUUGUGCUUAACUGAAAAGUCGCAAUAUAUGAGUAAAAUGAUUAAAAGGAAGUUUUUUUUUUUUUUAGGUCAAGCUGUGAAUAGCGUAAUUGCAAGCAUUUUUACAUGUAAGUAAAAAAAAAAAUCUGUCCCAGACGUCUUUCGGAGCACUAACAAUCUUUUCGACCUUAUUGGGUUUCGACAGUUGCAGUGUGUUGGCUGGCCAUUGUUGUGGUUGAAAGGAAGCAGGAAGUUCUAUCACCCAUUGGAGCAUAUAUGAAAUACUAAAGUUUAUGGAGGGCAUAUCGGCGAACAGGCAACAUUGCAAAGUAGUAUUGUGUCUGAUGGUGCGAAAUGCAGCCCGAUAUGUCUGCAGCCAAAGAGUAUUGCGAGUGAAGCUGCCACAUAACUCAAGUCUACGGAUUGGUUGGUUUUGAUUCCCUUACAUAAGCUAGCAUUCAGCGCAUAUUGUGCUCGUGGACAUCUAUGGGGUGCACCAUAAAUGCUGUCAUUCCAGCAGAUUUCUAAGAGCGUUGAACUUUAGAGGCCCAAGCUUGCCGUCCAUCUGUAGAUAGAGAUAACGCAAAGUUGUGACGAACUAGUUGACAAUACAGUCCUAAAACAAGCUAGAAAUGCUGAAAGCUGGGUUAAAAUAAAAGACUGUCUAAAAUGAUAUAAUUAACAGAAUUAACCAAUAAAUAAUUCCAAUAUUUUAGUUAAAAUCUUUAAAAACACUGAAAACGAGCUGCUGAUGCUCGCAUCACGCAAGGGAAGACUUCCACUGCCUUGACAAGUGCACGAUUGCUCCCGCCAUCAGCGACUACGUUGCUCCAUCUGAACGGUAAAAGAAACCUAGCAGAACUCGCUGCAGAGACACGUAUUUGAUUGUUGUAACAAUCAAAUCUGUUUGUUCAAAAUCAAAUUUGUUUUCAAUCAAUCACAAGUUUACUUGUGAAACAAAAAGACUAGAUUUUCUCACAUUGUUUCAAAAGUACAUUUGUUGUUUGCUUUAUCAUGAACACUUAUUUCAUUGUUCUUUAUUGCAUGCUAGCUCUUUAACAUCAUUAUCAGCACUCAAAUGACAUUGCACAUUGUUCAAAGAUUUCUGAAAUAAUAUUAGCCGUAAUUUGCAAAGUUAUGUGACCAGCUCGCGAGGCCUGUUGAUAGCAGAGAGCGCACGAAAUUUUGUGGUAGGUUGAACAUUACAGUACUGUUGUUUUUACAAGAUGGUGCAUAAUAUGGUGCUGCAAUGUGUGCUGUUGAAAAAAUUCAUAAAGACGAGGUGUGACCGGAGCCAACACAUCGACAAGCGAACUUGUUUUCGAGUCUGCAACUGUCCACUUAUCGAAAUGUCUGUUCAUAAAUUUUUCACUUCUUCAAGCGUCUUUCCCUGAAGUCCUGCCUUUUUGAGUGUGUGCCUUUUUAUAUAUCUAUACUCUGCAUUAAAUUAUGUGCAUUUUCAUUUAUUUUUCAGGAGCUUCAAAUUGAUUUUGUAUGUCAUUAUUUGCAUCACCAUCUUUCAAUGCCUCUAAUAGAUGUUUCAAUUUUUUUAACUUGCAAGAAUGCAUUAUAUGCACCUAAGUCAAUAUCUCAGUUUCCUGUUAUGAAUCUUGUGCAGAGGGUUAUCAAUGAAAUGAUUACUAGAUGAACUGCAAAUGAUAGUUUAUACACAUUCUUUUUUUUAUUCUGCACCUAUUUUGUGCUCACUUAUCCGUGUCCUUAAUUAUUUUUGCUCUGUUUGCCAGGUAAAGUGUUAUAAAAGUUUAAAGUGGCACUAUGCAAUCAUAUUAUGAAAAUGUAAUUGAGUGUGACUACGUAGUCAUGAUAUUGGUGGUUUAUAGCCUAUUUUGUGUCACUGAUAAUUAUUCAUCAGCAGCUCAUAUACCAGCAGUCUCUUUUUUUUUAAUUGUUGAAGCUAAAUAUUAUCACGAUAGCGCAUAGUAAGAGCGUAGGUAUAUUCAGAAUUUUCAAAUAACUAAUCAAAUAAUUUUUGUUGAAUAUGGUACUCAAAUCAAAUGGGGCAUACUGGAAAUACCAAAUAUUUUUUGAAUAGCUUUUGAAUAAUUAGCUAUGACAAAAAAAUAUUCGAAGAAAUGAAACAUGGGAACAGUGAGGGGUGACUUUUCCUGUUUUCAUCAUCGAAUCAUCUAGAUCUACCCAGCCCUAGUACUUACUGCAGUAACGACACCACAUUGUUGAUAACAGGAUGAAUGCAUUUUGCUUAAAACUGCAGUGUCACCAAAGUGAUAGUGUCAACAAUCAAUUAUCUUUGUUAUAAAAUUCAUGACGUUAAGUUAUGAAAGUCACAUAAUAUUUAAGUACCAGUUUUAUUUAAGAGGUGUUGAUAAUAGUCACUGCUUUGUUUCAGCCAUGCAGUGACAAAAUAUUUCGUAGACUAGUUGCUGCUCAUUUUGAAUAUUUAUAGUAUUUUUGUUGGGCGAAGGGAUGUGUAAUGUGAUCAUUUAAUAAAGCUUGGAAAUAUUUAGUUUAAAAUAGAUUUCGUGUAAUUCUUGGGCAGUUUUAAAGAUUGUCACUUUACCAAUUCAGGCCUGCUUUGAAGAUUAGUGUUUUACUACUUCGGAAACUAUUCAAAUAGUAUUUAUUCAUGUUCUAUUUGGUAACGUCACUGUUUGAUUUGUAAUGAAUUUGGUUCUGAAGUUCACUAUUCACUCACUCCUCGCACAUAGAGUCUAUAAAUAUAUAAAUUAUAUAAAUUACCUCAGGUGUUUUCAGUGAGCAUAACAUUUGUGUAAUUUUUUCUACGUUGUAACAUUGAUAUCAUUACAAAGUGUUCAAAAAGUUGUGUAUUCUGUCUGUUUCAAAAUAUGUAAACAAAGGUGUCAUUUCUUAUAUAUAUAUUCUAUGCCGAGUUGAAAACUUUGUUGUAUUGUGGUUUUACAUACUAUAUGAAAGCCGUUGAACCUUUGUAUGCUGUAUGUAUAGUUUAUGCUACGUCUGGGUGUUCUUUUGGGUUAGUUACACAAGUUCAAGUGAUAUAAUUACAAUAUAAAUUGGCUAAAAGAAAAGCUAAUUAUUAAUUUGUGGUUAUUUUACUGCAGUUUUGAUAGCUGUGUAUUGUGUGUUCAGCCACUGUCUUUCAUUUCUAGUGCGCAUGAUAUCAAUUUGCAUGCGUUAGCCUAGUAUAAAGAAAAUACUAGUUCCUGAAAGUUCUCCUACUGUUUCUUUUGUAAUAUAUUACCUUGGAAAUUCUAACUUCAUUGAUUAGAGUUUUUGUAAGCAUCAAAAAGACAGUCUGAUGAGUUGGUUGAUAAUACCUAAUUCAGAACAGAAGCGCAAAAAUUCUAACUUCAUUGAUUAGAGUUUUUGUAAGCAUCAAAAAGACAGUCUGAUGAGUUGGUUGAUAAUACCUAAUUCAGAACAGAAGCGCAAAGCAUCACACUGAGGACAGUAGAUCAAAACGGACACAGCGCUAAUUUACAACUCAGUAUUUGUUGCAUGCGAUCUCAUAUAUAUAUAUAUAUAUAUAUGCACACGACACUAAAGAAAAAAGAGGGGAUGGGGCACACAAGGUAAUCGACUCGGCAAAUGAAAUAGGUGGCCCAAGUGGCGGAAAUACCAUUUCCUUCUCUGACAAGCAGAUUGGGGGCUACUUACAGGGUCUCUGUAUUUAAUCUCGACCACUUCAAUAAUUUUUUGCGUGACACAUUUUGAUCUGUUGCCAUCUGUGUGAUGCUCUGCACUGCUGUUCUGAAUUUCAAACAUCACUUUGCCAGUUGGCAUCAAUGUCGUGCUGCCGUUUUCAGGAGAGGAUGUAGCAGUGGCCUUGGGCACUCUAACAUGAAGAUUGCACGUGAACGGCAGUGUGAAAAGGCAUAGCAAAAUGAGCUUGCAUUCAGCUGUUCUUGUAUAGUAAGCGACCUUGUUACUUUGGAUGCACCACUUGACUAGAGCUUGUUCUUUUUUCACGCAUUUUCUAUAUCUCUUAGCACAUUUGCACCAGUGAGUAAAGUGGUAAAAUAAUUAACUUCGCAAAAACCACUGUAUUAGUGUUUUUCACGACAUCUGUGCCACACGUUUGUUGCUCAAGUAUCGGAAGUUGACUGUCUCUUUUGUUUUCUUUCUUGCUUUUCUUCGGGACCAGCGUCGACGGUACGAGGCUAUCCCAUCGCUCCCUGCCUCCUGCGCGCCAGCAACAGCAACGCGGGACGCCCGUCGUCCACAUCUCUGCGGCACUUCUUCUCGUCCGGUGGCACGGACAUGCCUAAGAAGUUCCAGUGCCGACAGUGUCACUACUCUACCAACAUCAUGACCAACCUGCGACACCACAUCCGCGUGCACUCGGGAGAACGGCCCUUCAAGUGCUCGGAUUGUGGCAAGGGCUUCAUCCAGAAGAUCCAGAUGAUCAAGCACAAUUGCAUCGCGCGGAUGCGUGACGUCGUCGUACCCGCGUCCGCAGUGUCGCCGACGGGGCUCUCGCCUUCAUCACCCGUGCCUCCGGCAAACUCGCUCUUCAGUUGUUCCAAAUGCGGAGAAGCGUUCCUCGGCGAGGCGCUCCUACUGCAGCACAUGAUGCUCGUGCACAUGGCGCAGUGAGCAACGUUCAGCUGUGCACGAAAGUAGUAUGCUAGGCAAAUUUCUCAUUGUCACAACAUAACGACACUGGUAUGGGGCAAAGAAUGAUGGCACCAAAAAUGCCUAAUAAUGGCUGUGUGCCUGGUUUGUGCAGUAUGAAAUCAAAUGUGAAAGUAUGUGCUUGCCUCUUUACACAGAUGCUUUACACGGAUCUAGUUGUAGUGUGUAAGCGAAUCUAGCUACACAGCUAGUAAAGGUGUUUCAUGCAAGCAAGCGAAGAUGGGGCUGCAGGUCAUUUAACCUUGCAAACUCCUUAUAAGGAGGUAGGUUAUAGCACAUGUAUCACUCGUUGCUGCACACAGACUUCUGCCACAACUUCUACUUUGAGUGACGUUGCUGUCGAAGUCAGCAGCUUUGUUGUCAUCAUUCUUUGUGCUGCUUUGUCAUCAUACUUGGCUGAGAAGCACAUGUACUGUAGCAAUGUCACUUUCAGUGACAAUAUGCACAUUUGAAUCAAACACCUGAUAGACUGGCUUUUACAACACAAUGUGGCUUUAUUAUAUCAAAGUGUGCUUUGAUAAAGCUUGUUCGCAUUAAGAUUGUUAGGUCUAGGUGGUUUCGUGUCAAGAUUCUGUAUACAAUGGAUUGAGGUACACCUGCACGCAGAGAUGGUCAUUAUGUCAAGAUACGUUGUCGAUUUAUCUGUCUUGAAGCAUUGGAAGUGCAUGCCGUUGCGUACAAAGGCAUUAUUUGCAGCCCUAGAUACGUUAUUUGAUGUCUAGCUAUGUUGAGAGCUUGACAGUUUGCUUAGCUUUGUAGCGGCUAUUAUGUUAGCAUAGCUAGAUAGAUGACUAACUUUUGUUAAUGGGCUCGCCAGUAGAAUUAUUGCUAUAUAGAGAAUGCUGAACACGCUCUGCUACCAUCUGCUCAAGGAAGACCAAACUUUCAGUUCGCCCCGCUGCAGUGGUCAAGUGGCUAAGGUACUCGGCUGCUGAACCACAGGUCACGGGAUCGAAUUCCAGCUGUGGUGGCUGCAUUUCCGAUGGAGGCGGAAAUGUUGUAGGCUCAUGUGCUCAGAUUUGAGUGCACAACAAAGAACCUCAGGUGGUUGAAAUUUCUGGAGUCCUGCACUACGGCGUCUUUCAUAAUCAUAUUGUGGUUUUGGGACGUUAAACCCCACAUAUCGAUCUAUCUACCAAACUUUCAGUUCACAAAAUGCAUUUCUGUGAAGCCUCAUACCAUUGUACUAGCGCUAAUAAAUUAUUGAAGACAUUUAGCGAUAGCAUAUCGAACAUUCGAUUAUAGGAAAGCUAAGAGCUUACAAAAAACACUCGGUUGUCAAAAGAUGCCGUGCAAUUUUUAUUCUAAAGAUUUGGCUGGCUACUGAAUCACGGUAAAUGAUGUGCACAUUCUCUGGCAAGUACUGUAUACAUGCGACGACACGAAAAGAAGAACAGCAUCUACUGUAGAGAAAUUCUGAUACUCUGAUCCUCGCGUAGUGAUUUGAAACGUUAUUCUAUGUCUCACUUUGUUUAGAGAUCUUUGUAGUUAUUUACUGUCAUUUCUUGAAGUCCUCUUCAUGCUAUUAGCUAAAUGAACAGUGUGGUUCAUAAGUGGACUAGAUGGUCUUCGAGCCAGUCAAGUUUUAGAUGGUUAGCGAAAAGUAUCAAAAUUGGAGGCGAGCCGGUGCAAAGACUUCCAUGUGGUGUCGUCACCUGCGCUUUCUGGCUUGCCAAACAAUCUCCUAUGACAAAAGUGGUGCUUUCUGGGGUUGUGGAAAGUUAAUUUAUUAAAUUGUCUUUCUCUUCAGUGUUGGUUCAAUCCUGUGCGAUUCUGCAUCCACCAAACAAGAUUUACCUAGUUGCUAGUAGAGGCGGUCAGGCUUGUUGUCUUGGUGGUCAAGAACACAGCCGCUCAGAAUGAAGUACUGUUGACUAGCCUUGACAAGCUUUUUCUUCACCUUGCUAUUCACGAAUCUUUAGUUUACGUUCACCAACCCAAGUCUAAGCUCUCCGAUUAUUCCAAGAGGAAGGCAUGAGCCGCUUUUGUGAGUUUCAAGUGGUAGACGUAUCUUCGAAGGAAUUAGCUCCCCUACCCUGUUCUGUUUUUGUGCCUUGUUCUUUUUUAGUCAUGCAUUUUUUCAUUUAUGUAGAACCCAUAAUUGUUCACACUUAUUAGAUAGGUACUCAGGUAUAUCGCUUGCAUUAUUUCCUGUUAACCUUCCGUGCAUUAACAUGGGUGUACUUGUACUCUAAGCUGUCUUUGUUUCUUUGCUUGCGAACUAUGGAAUUUUGGCUCUUACUAUGAGAUGCUUGACUUCAACAUGUUCGUCACUGUGGAGCAGCUAAGUCACUGCCUCUUGGUGCUCAUUCUAUAACACAUUUUCGAAAACUGCAGAGGGAUGGGAAACGGGUGCAGCAAGCGUGGGGAGAAAUUAUCAUUUGUGACUUAACUGAGAAUGUGACUUUAGUGUUAAUGUUACGAAUGGAGUUGGCAUUUAAGAUGUGCGCCAAUAAUGGUUGUUUCAACCCAUAUUUUAGUCACUUCAAGAAGCUGUUUCCUUAUAAGUUCAAUGCUGUUUUAUUAUUUGCGAGCAUUCGUCAGCAAAUUUAACAAAAUUUAGGCUUUUCAUAUUGUAGGCUGAUGAAGUUUGGCUUCUUAAGAACUUUGGUGAUAGUUUUCUGGUUGUAAAAGGCUGAAUUAAUUCCGAAGGUCUCCUGCAGCACUUUUCUGAGUAACCAUCAAAUGGCUCCAUUAAAGGAGUUUGUCGCCUCUCAAAUCAGCCACCGCAAAACUUAAAAUCUAUCAAGUACGAGUCAAGUUGGAGACUUUUUGCAGGCUGUGGUUGCUUUCUCUCUUCUCUUGUCCUGACGAGCAAUCUGAAAGCUAAGCAGAGAGGGAUGGUGUAUGAGAAGAAGUUAUGUCAUGUACAUAUCAUGACCUUGAACACUCUUUUUUUUUUUCCUUCGAACAUACCGCGCCGCUUAUUUUCAUAAUCCUUAGUGCUCGUACGGGCAUGUGGUGGCCUCCUGCGGCAGCAACCGUAGCUGUGCUGCUCGUGAUGGCAACUCAGCCAGUAGUCGUGAAUUUGGUGGGGUCAUUUUGGUAGGUCAUGAUUUGUAGAAAAAAAGAGGGAAUGAUAUCCAAGUGACUUUGACAACUAAUUGUAAAUUCCUGUCCGCAUGCUGUGAUAUAAUGUUUGUCUCGCAUGUUCCCAGGAGCGUAGUGUACCGAUCAGCGGUGUCUCUUAACAAUGAUGAAAAAGUGUUGCAGAACCCUUUUAAAUAUAGUAUUUGUAUGUACCACAUUUACUAAUAUGAAGCCGCAUAGAAGUAUUGACCUACAAUGCAUGCCUAACAACUGCACUGUCUGCAGUGUAUUCAGAGUGUUUUCUUUGUAAUGUCUUUUUGGCCUAUCAGAUUGUUUGCUAAAAAAGCAGUAUGAAAUACUCAAGCCUCUGAAAUAUUCCAGGGAAUGAUGUUAGAAUGCUUUUUUGUGAGUUCAUAUGGCUCCAUCACAAAACAUGGAGUCUCCUUUUUUUUACAUCUGAUCAAGAUGUCAGAUCACAGGUGUUGUGCAACAAAUGUCAUAAUUUUUUCAUCGCCAAAUACAGGCCUUUUAGUUAACCGUAUGGCAUGCACUUCCAAUGUUUAGAGUGACUGCAGAGCUUCCCGGUGCUUUAGGAUUUCGCAGAAUUGAAAAUACUUCGACAACUGAAGUCGACAGAGCAUUGAUUAUUGAGGAUAUCAGGGCAAUGUUUUUAGGAUGAUCCCUUUGGUUGGCGACUACCUGGCAGGAAUCGCAAAUAUCCUACUGUGCGCAUGCAGAACGUUUGGCUGUCGUGCACUGUGCCUGUUCAUUGUGUCAGAGGUUCACAUUGUUGCAAAAAGGAGCGGGACUGUUUACGUGUAUUCUUAGCAGUUGCAUUGAGAAGCAGUCUUUAGUGGCGAGCAGGAACUACAUUAGAUGCAUGAACCUCGACAGAGGCACUUGUUAGCUGUUGAACAUUUAUAAGAUGUGCUCUUGAUGUUUAACGUGUAUGGAAGUAGAUUUUAAUGUGGAAAAAGUGAUUGGACAGGUUACAUGAGCAAAGCAUCUGGUGAUUUGUUUUAGAGUUCUACUUUACGAAAAGCCAAUGACAAGAAAUCGCAUUGCUUUUUAUGAAAUGCUAUUUGAACAAGUUAUAGAUGGCUUGUGCAUUUUGUACAAUAUGCCUUACACGUAUGCGUAUGCCUGUUUGCUCUUAUAUGAAAGACCAGUUAAUACUCGGCACAUAUGUCUUGUUAGCGUCGCUUGUCUUGUCGUACACACGGUUUGCCUCGUUAAAUGUGAUUGGAUGCUGGAUAAGCAAGCAUUUUAACGAUUGCAAUAGCAAACGCGAAAGCAGAUGAGAAGGCUAGUUUUGUCAGAGUUUAUGCUACAUUCGUAGUUUCGGCGAGAUUAUUAAAUGAAGAGAAGUAAGAAGGCAGGUUCGUGAGAAUGUAGUGUAAGAGAGAAAGUGACAGGUUUUGUUCCUUUUACUCUUUUUUUUAUUCUCAUUCUUGCAGCACUGUCAAAAAGUGACAGAUGUUUUUUGUUUGUGUUUCAUAGAAUUAGUACUUUCCUUUUGUGUGCCAUGCUGCCAGUUACUUGAGCUGCGCUUUAGCCAAGUGCGAAGAAGUCUGCAUCUCUUUUAUUCUUUCAGGCUAUUUUGUAGCAAGGACUGCUGAAAAUAAUAUUCCUAUAUGCACUGAACAAUGUAACCUUUAUUAUAUGCUUGACGCGGUUAGUUUAGAUUAGCAAACUUUGGAGCAUUACAGGAAGCACUCGGUGAACAGAUUACAGUUUUUUAUCCUAAGUUCUCUUUUUUUUUUUUUUCAGAGAGCUUGAGUUAUAUGCACAAAUGUUUUUCAUACCUUGCAGGUAUCAGUAAGUAGAACCAAAUAAAAUAGACACCUUCUAUAAAAUGUCAUUCUCUUGCUUAAAAUUUUUCAUUUUGGAUGCGAACCUGUCUUGUGUAUUCAAGUAAACGUGGGCCCUGCAUAUAUAGCUAAUGUGCUAUUAAUGACAUUGAAUGCCUGAUGCCCAUUUUUAUUCAUUGUAAGCUGUAUGUUUGAUCCCUUUUUGAACAGGGCUGUCUUUCCUUGGGCAGACAUAUUUGUUAAUAGCUCCGGAUACAUUCAUAUGCAAAGUAAGCCUCCCUUACGCAGCUUUAGUAGCAGUUAGCACUUAUGGCUGUAUGCAAAAUGUUUGCUUUUUCCAAGCCAGAGCAGUGUGCACUGGUGUAGGGUAAUAUUCAAGCCAAAAAGUGACACCGUAGAGAAUUAUGAAUGUCUGACCCAGUGUAGUAUUUUUAGUAGCCAAUUGCUAGAAUGACCGUAGAGCUGUUUUAGACUUUAUUGAAACGAGCCAUGUUCCCAUAUGUUUUUGACUCAUUUGUGUUUUUAUAUUGCGCUCAUAUUUGCUAAACUACUUAUACCAAUCUCUCAAAGUCUUUCGUAUUGUUGCAUUUUGUUUAUGUGCAAGUGGUUUUUACGUGUUAUUACUGAUCAUUGGCUGUGUCAUUGAGAUGUACUUUUGUCACACCUACACAUUUAAUUAUUGCUGAGAACAAGUUUAACGAAGGUUCACAGUCUACAGGACCUCCCUUUCUUUUUUCUUUCAAUAUUUGACAAAAGUAUCUCGACAUUUAGGACUGUCCAAACGUGUGUGUCUACUUGAGACAGCUUUCUCGGGUUCGUAUCACGUUGUAUGCACUGAUGCCAACUUAGCAUUUUCAUUAGCACCCCCCUCCCUUUUUUCGUUGUGUUCAAGUGCGUGAGUGUACGCUUGUCUUCCUUGUUCCUAAUUUCAAAGAUUAUGUACUCAGGUUGAUUGUAUUUAUGACAUUAUUUCCUCUUGUAACGUCGCACAUUGACAUCGUGUGCUCGUGCUUUGUUUUAUUGGUAGCGUGAAAGCGCAUGUUGAGAUAAGCUGUGCCGUCUUCAGACAUUGUUUACAAAGACUUCCGAUUUAGCCAAACUGUUCCAGCAGCUGCUUUUUUUUUCCCUCAAAAAAGCAAGCUUGCUGUCAUUUUCUUGUUUUCUAUUGUUUAUGUGGUGUGUCCCCUACUACUGCCUUUGCGAUUUCAUCUGAGGUAACAAAAAAAUGGCAGGUAUACUGAACAUGCGUAGCUCCUAGUACGCCAUUACAUUUUAGGUCUUGGCCUGGACUGAUUGUGUACUUGCUGAGUACUUCGCAGUUGGAAGCAUGUUUUUGUCAUGUCAGCAGUGGGGAGCUAAGAACUUCCCUUUCAGACUAUGCAGACUACUGUAGAAUGGCACUUAUAUUCUGCCAAUAAAGGCUAUUCUUUUGGCAUUUUA